AAGGCCUUCCGGGUCGUAAAGCACUGUCAGGUGGGAAGAAGAAGUGACGGUACCACCGAAAGGAAGCACCGGCUAACUCCGUGCCAGCAGCCGCGGUAAUACGGAGGGUGCAAACGUUGUUCGGAAUCAUUGGGCGUAAAGGGCACGCAGGCGGCGUGUCAGGUCGGAUGUGAAAGCCCGGGGCUCAACCCCGGAAUUGCGUUCGAAACCGACAUGCUGGAGUCCUGGAGAGGGAAGCAGAAUUCCUGGUGUAGGGGUGAAAUCCGUAGAUAUCAGGAGGAAGACCAGCGGCGAAGGCGGCUUCCUGGCCAGAGACUGACGCUGAGGUGCGAAAGCAUGGGUAGCAAACAGGAUUAGAUACCCUGGUAGUCCAUGCUGUAAACGUUGUUCACUAGAUGACGGGGAAAUGAGCCUCUUCGUGUCAACGCUAACGCAUAAGUGAACCGCC
rnacentral:rRNA from 1 species